rnacentral:lncRNA from 1 species
CUUUCGCGGCCGAAGCUCUUGCAUGCCUCCAAUCGCUCAAAGUGGGGAGGGAUCAGGGGUUGAGGGAGGUGAUGGAGGGUGAUUCAUUAUCUGUGAUAAAGAAAGCAAGAUCGGAAAAUCUGGACAGAUCAUCCAUUGGCCCUUACAUUUUGGACAUAAAAAAUGAAGCAGGGAAGUUCAAGGAGGUUCGCUUCACCUAUGUUUCACGUUCGGCGAACAAAUCUGCGCAUUCUCUGGCAAAGGAGGGUUUUAGAAGGGAAGAUGACUGGGGUCUCGACCAAGACACGCUGGAGUUGUUUGUGGCUCGAGAGAAUCGGAACUCUUUCACUUACGCCGGCGAGGAAGAUGUGGAGGUGACUGGAUAGAACGAUUUGUUUCUUCCAAAGGAUUGUGAAGGGCGGAGAUGAAGCAAAGAAUCUGGAUGAUUGCUUUGGAACGGGAAAAGGAAAUGUUCCAUUUCCAAAAGAUAAUUCAUGGACCUGUUCUUUUCAGUUUGGAGUGCCCCGAGAAGUGGCGUGCAUUUUUUAGUGGGACUGAGCUCCAUUUACCCUGCUGGGGUUUUAAAUUUUAUUUUAUUUCUUCUUUAUUUUUCUUUUCUUUCUCAGUUUUGCUUGGG